rnacentral:rRNA from 1 species
CUAUACAUGACUCUGCCGCAUAUCAAUAAGCGGAGGAAAAGAAACUAACAAGGAUUCCCUUAGUAACAGGCGAGUGAAGCGGGAAGAGCUCAAAUUUGAAAUCUUCAAGGGUUUACCUUUACGAAUUGUAGUUUAAAGAAGUGUUUUCUGCUGAGGUUUUGGUAAAAGUUCUUUGGAAUAGGACAUCAUAGAGGGUGAGAAUCCCGUAUUUGACCAUUAUUUUCAGCUUUGUGAUACACUUUCAAAGAGUCGGAUUGUUUGGGAAUGCAGUCCAAAAUGGGUGGUAAAUUUCAUCUAAAGCUAAAUAUUGGCGAGAGACCGAUAGCGAACAAGUACCGUGAGGGAAAGAUGAAAAGAACUUUGAAAAGAGAGUUAAACAGUACGUGAAAUUGUCAAAAGGGAAGCGUUUGACACCAGUGUUGUUUUCUCGAAAAUCAAUUAAAAAUGGCUCGAUUUUGUAUUGUUGAGACCUUAAAAGCUCACUGUACAUUUUUCGUGUCUUUUUUAAUGCACUUUUCGUUUAACAAGUCAACAUCAAGUUUCUUUUGUUGUAAAAGGGUCAUUGGAAGGUGGCUUUCUUUUCGGAGAAAGUGUUUAUAGCCUUUGGCCUCUGCAAUCGGAGAGACUGAGGUCUGCAGCGUAGACUCUUCGGGGUUAGAUACAUUUGUGCUAAGUUAUAGCUUUUUAUAGACAACUUGUUGACUAUAAUUAGUCUUGUAGCUUACUCGCUUAUGCUAUUUUACCUACGCUUAGGAUGUUGACAGCAGUAUAGACUGU